AAUAAACUCAGCCUUUACUCUAAGAGGGACAGGCCCACGGAAUAAAUUUAGAAAACAAUAAGUGAAGAGAAAUGAAGGGAAUCACAGAGAGAAAUAGCAUUGCAAUUUCUUAUUCAUGAAUUAAGAUUUCGUAGCAAUUAAAAUAUUACCGAAUCAAGUAUUUGAUAUCAUCCAGUAUCCAUAAAAAAUGCCAAGCAAAGGAGAAAUAUUUACUUAGGGGUUCAACUAAGAUGUGCAAUGUCAACCCCAUCGGGGAUCCUAAAUGUGUCGGCUGCGCCAAAUUUCUUCCGCCCUUCGCCAUGUUCAGAUUCAUCUUCAUCACUAUCAUCAUCUCCAUCGUCAUGAUUGCUUGUUGUCAAGGGAUCAUUAAUACUUUUAGACCUGCAAUCAUGGGUCGCAAGCAUAUUUACUUGGCCAAGGUGAGAGAUUUCAACAACUACCGUAUCAUCUUCUUCAGGUAGGGGUUGCUUCCAGGGUUCCCCAUCAAUCCUCAUAAAUGUAUGGUUGGCAGCACCUUUGUGGAACUCAAAACGGAUUCUGUGUGCCUAGUGCCAAAGAAGGCCAUAAAUCAAGUAAAUAUUAUUAUUAAUCCUGCACUUUGUAUAUAAUGUCAUUUACAUUUGUUUAUAUCAAUUAAAUAAUAUCAACCAACAGAUGGCAUCAUCCACUUGGAUAUAAAACCAAGGAUGGUAAGCAGCCUCCACAUUACAUGAUCCUUUUAUCAUGAAUUAUAUACAUUGAUUUUCCUGUUUACAUUAGUGAAUUUAUGACAACGCUUAAUAUCAUUAAAUAAGUGAUAGUUUCAAAAAUAUAACACGUGAUUUAGUAUAUUAUAACUUAAUGGACAACUUUCAAUUUCAUCAAAUUGUUAUCCUAUAAUUUAGCGCCAUUACAAUGUCCUUGGAUCUGGUAACUGAAUGCUAACGUGUCAACAUUUCCUUCAAGGAUCCAAGACAUGGCGCUAAAACCAUAAGGUAUCAAUUUGAAGAAAAUAAAAAAUAGAAAUUGUUCCUUAAGAAAAAAUGCAGUAAACUACGGGGUACAUUUUUUAAAUUAUCCCAAACUUUAAUUUGGAAUUUGGAUUCCCACAGUUUUGUUUCUUACUUGUGCAAGACGAGUCCCAUGUCCAUUUGGAGCAAGCAAAACAAGCCCAUGCCAAGCAUCUCUAAAACCAACAACUUCAAGAAGCCCAUCAUCUACAUAUGGUGGAGUCAAGUCUCUAUCGCGUUGUUUCUUGCUAUUUGGUGUUCCCCAAGGGCUCAGUCCACCGGAAAAACUGGGCAAGUUAAGGCAUACAAUUGACCUAAUGCUGUGGGGUAUAUGGAGAUCUUGCCAUUGACCAUGUCUUUUCAUGACUUUAACCUUAGCAAGCUGAGCUAUGUUCCUGUAAUACAAAAAGAAAAUGUCAUUGCAUUAUAAUACAUAGAGACACAGGAAAAAAAAAUAACAAGCAAAAUUAUCUGUCAUAGGACCUGACCAAGUCUAUAAACUCUAGAACAUUGAAAAACAUUCCUCCAUGUCUGCUCCUAACUAUUUCAAAGAGAUAAGCUUAAAACAAUAUUACAUGAACCAGUACUAUAUUAGAUAAAAUUUCUCUAGUUUUCUCCUUCUCUUAUCAAUAAAAGUGAAUCAUAAAGGAGAAGUAAAAUGGGGACAAAAACGUAAUAGGAUUAUUAUUCAUAAAUGCUUAAAUAUAAAGCUUAAGGCAGUAAGCCGCUAUUAUUAUUGCAGCAAAAUUUUACAAUAGCUGUUGGUAGUUUGGUACUCUUAUGUGUAGAGAAUAAUAUAACAAUGUAGCAUAAAAUGACCACUUGAAGUAAAAGACUUGAGACUUUGCAGAGUCCCGCAACUGUGUACACAGAAAGGAGAUUACUGUUUGCAGCAUUUCACUCAUGCACGAGUAAUAAUUAAUGCAUAAGAAAAGACAGGAAAAAAUCAGUGCAGGUUCAAACUCCACAUAACCAAAAUCAGUCAGAUGCAAAAAUGCUAAAAAUUGAAAACAUGCUGAAAAACUUAGUAGUAGUCAUGUUGAUGGUCAAUCAGGCAGCAAACAUUCAUCUCAACAGUGAGUUACAGAAAAUUGCCAAACAAAGCAAAGAUGAAAAGCAUGAUAAGAUUCUUCUAUAGAUAUGAAAAUUUUGAAAUGGAAUGGAACAUUUUAUAGCAGAAAAAACUGUUAGAAGAUAGCAAAAAAGCAGAGUAACUCAAUCUAAGAAGCAAUCUGUUUACACUCACUUUGACGUAGGAUGAAAAAGAGAAGCAAAAAACCACCCUUGUGUACAUCCAAGCUUUGCAUAAGUACUCUGGUUUGCAAGAGCCAAUAAAUAAAUAAAUAAAUAAAGAAGAUGAGGAAUUUGAAAUAUUUUACAGAGAGAAAUGAAAUGAACCAAACCCCAUUAAUCUCCUUUUGAGAUUAAAGCUUUUGAGAAUUUCUCUCAAUUCCAUUAUCCAUAGCUCUUAGCUACUGUUACUAACUAUUUGCCCUUCCUACACUUGACGUUGAAAUAAAACUAAAUCCCACUAGUUUAGAACUGUUUUUUGUUACAGUUUUGUUCUUGUUGAUGAUGGGAUGAUGAUGACGGUGAUUAAAUCUAUGAGGAUUCUAAGAUGAGAUUGGUUGUCUCUGCAAUGGAGAGAGUGUGACUGUGCUCUCCUUCGUAGGUGACAACGAGCAUUGAUGGAUCGUCUAAAGCUCGCUCCACAUGCUUACGUGCUGGGCAACCUCUGACGCUACUGCACUUGUAGUAGCCUCUGUUUAACACAAACAUAUAUCAAGAACAGCAUAUUAAUCAAGGGAUCAGUAGUCCUAAUUGGUUAAUUAUUAUUUUGAAAUAGCAAUUAAUGCAUCAUAAUUAAUAUACAGAAACUAAGCUAAGCAACAGUAGAUAAAAAUAAGAGAAAUCUAUGACCAGACUAAUUCUUGAGAAGCAUGUAUGUAGGUAUAUAUACCUAGGAUGUGGAGACCCUUUAAUGGGUUUUUGUCCAUAUUUUCUCCAGGAGUAAUCAUCUGGUGGAAUAUCAGCCAUCUUCAGGCUAAUUGCUGGAACCCUCACCACUCUCCUCAGUCUCAACUUUCUCUUCUUAGAGCAAUGGCACCGACCAGACGAUCCACUGCACUUGCCAGAACCCAGAUUUUCAGAGCUACACUUCCUCUUCAAGGAAGAUGAAGAAAGGGGAGGCUUUCCAGCUGAUGAAACCUGAGACAGAUUGGUAAUCUGAAUCUGAAACGCUGAUGAAGACGAUAGCUGUUUACUAUCUGUCGCAUCACCCGUCAAGGAAGACGCAAAGGAGUUCCCAGCUGAGGGAUAAGAAAAAUUGAUGGUGGUAGACGAUUCUUUCUUAUCACUAAUCACCCCAUUAUUCUUUGGCAUCACCGCCAUAGAAGAAAAAUCAUGGUAAUAAUGAUUAGGAACCGGAGGAGGAGGAGGAAUCUGCUGGAUCGGCGUAGCAUAAUAAACCUUACUGUCAAGAACUUGAUUUUCUUGGCUAAUUUGGCUGUGGCUCAGAGGAGUAGCCACAGGAGCUCUUCUAAAGCGAGCAUGGCCAGUUCUGGUUCGACCCAGAAGAGAAAUAACUUUCUUGAAUUUAGAAACGGCAACAUCUGCAGCUGCCUUGCAAUCCAUGUCUAUAUCCAUUGAAGAUCUUGAGGUCGAAGAAGGUGAUGAUGAAGAUUGAAGCUUUUCUUGAUUUUGCUGCGAGAGCAAUCUGAUGAGCUUGUUGACACUCUCGAGACCUGAAGCAGCCUCUUGGACUGCGUUCUCUUCCAAUUUAGUAACAAAACCAUCGUUCCUAAAAGCCAUCAUGAGGUCUACAGCCAUGACUACUGAAACAAGACCAUGAAAGAAAGAGAGAAACAAAACAAAAGAGUAGAAAAAGAAGAAAUUAAAGUCGGUGAAAAGAAAACGAAGAGGGAUGGGGUGUUGAUAAAGGGUAAAGGGAAGGGUCGUCCCUUCCCUUACGGUCUGGUCAAA
rnacentral:misc_RNA from 1 species